AGAGUUUGAUCCUGGCUCAGGACGAACGCUGGCGGCGUGCCUAACACAUGCAAGUCGAACGGAACUGUUUUGAAAGAUUUCUUCGGAAUGAAUUUGAUUUAGUUUAGUGGCGGACGGGUGAGUAACGCGUGAGUAACCUGCCUUCAAGAGGGGGAUAACAUUCUGAAAAGAAUGCUAAUACCGCAUGACAUAUCGGAACCACAUGGUUCUGAUAUCAAAGAUUUUAUCGCUUGAAGAUGGACUCGCGUCCGAUUAGUUAGUUGGUGAGGUAACGGCUCACCAAGACCGCGAUCGGUAGCCGGACUGAGAGGUUGAACGGCCACAUUGGGACUGAGACACGGCCCAGACUCCUACGGGAGGCAGCAGUGGGGGAUAUUGCGCAAUGGGGGCAACCCUGACGCAGCAACGCCGCGUGAAGGAUGAAGGUUUUCGGAUUGUAAACUUCUUUUAUUAAGGACGAAACUUGACGGUACUUAAUGAAUAAGCUCCGGCUAACUACGUGCCAGCAGCCGCGGUAAUACGUAGGGAGCAAGCGUUGUCCGGAUUUACUGGGUGUAAAGGGUGCGUAGGCGGAUUGGCAAGUCAGAAGUGAAAUCCAUGGGCUUAACCCAUGAACUGCUUUUGAAACUGUUAGUCUUGAGUGAAGUAGAGGUAGGCGGAAUUCCCGGUGUAGCGGUGAAAUGCGUAGAGAUCGGGAGGAACACCAGUGGCGAAGGCGGCCUGCUGGGCUUUAACUGACGCUGAGGCACGAAAGCGUGGGUAGCAAACAGGAUUAGAUACCCUGGUAGUCCACGCUGUAAACGAUGAUUACUAGGUGUGGGGGGAUUGACCCCUUCCGUGCCGCAGUUAACACAAUAAGUAAUCCACCUGGGGAGUACGACCGCAAGGUUG
rnacentral:rRNA from 1 species